rnacentral:rRNA from 1 species
AUUGAACGCUGGCGGCGUGCCUAAUACAUGCAAGUAGAACGCAGUUGCGAACGGGUGAGUAACGCGUAGGUAACUGCCUCAUAGCGGGGGAUACCUAUUGGAAACGAUAGCUAAUACCGCAUACUUUGAGAUGGACCUUCGGUGUAUUAGCUAGUUGGUGAGGUAAAGGCUCACCAAGGCGCCGAUACAUAGCCGACCUGAGAGGGUGAUCGGCCAAACGGGGACCGGGACCAGGGCCAGACUCCGACGGGAGGCAGCAGUAGGGAAGCUUGGGCAAUGGACGGAAGUCUGACCGAGCAACGCCGCGUGAGUGAAGAAGGUUUUCGGAUCGUAAAGCUCUGUUGGUAGAGGAGCGGUAACUAAACAGAAAGGGACGGCUAACUACGUGCCAGCAGCCGCGGUAAUAC